UCCUUCAGCAUUUCUCUGUGGCUCCAGCCUUAAGUGGAGUCCUGAGAUGAAGAAUGCCCGCUGUGUACAAAAAGAAAAUCCGUUAACACAGGCAGUGCCUAAAUGUCAGCGCUGGGAGAAACUGCAGAAUUCAAGAUGUGUUUGUAAAAUGCCCUACGAAUGUGGACCUUCCUUGGAUGUAUGUGCUCAAGAUGAGAGAAGCAAAAGGAUACUGCCUCUGACAGUUUGCAAGAUGCAUGUUCUCCACUGUCAGGGUAGAAAUUACACCCUUACUGGUAGGGACAGCUGUACUCUGCCUGCCUCAGCUGAGAAAGCUUGUGGUGCCUGCCCACUGUGGGGAAAAUGUGAUGUUUAGCAGUGGGCCGAAGAAGAUACUUGAGGAUGUUAAAGACUCAGACUGAUUUGACAUGCACUGACCUCUCCUAUACCCCUCACUGGAGAAGGGCACAGAUCACAGACCUCAGAGGAUAAGAUUCCCACAUUCCUGAUGUGGAAAUGUUCUCCCAAACAGGGGUGAUUCCAUGCCACCUUCAUGAUUUUUACUCUGUCCUUGUAUUAUCCAUAUUGUGUACUCAUUUUUUAAAAGUCUGACAUAAAAAUAACUUAAAAAUGAAAACUUUAUAUCAUGUCCUUAAAAGGAGGUAUCACUUGCCAUAAAUACUAGGUAACUAUAAAAGUUAUAUGUAAUGGAACUAAAUAAAGUUGUGGACUCUA
rnacentral:lncRNA from 1 species